AUAUAUAUAUUUCUCAAUACACGACAUAUAAUAUCAUGCUUGUACAAAAAUCAUUAAUAAUUGUUUGUGCUUGCCACCUUUGGAUUCCCUAGUUGAAAAGGACUUGAAGCAUUCUUGUUAUUAUGGCCUUGCAGUUUUGUAUUCCCUUGAAGGACCAAUUUCAAUAAAUUGGUUUGUGUUUCACUUCAUCCUAUUUGGUAUUGCAUUUAAUUGUUACAAUUACUAUCCUUUGUCCUUAUCCGUAUUUGAUGUAACCAUGUUGGCUUUUUUGACCAAAUGAAGAUGAAGAAUAUGCCC
rnacentral:lncRNA from 1 species